CAACAAUGUAUUCAUUCUUCGAUGUCAGCAAUUAUAACAAUAGUAGUCUGUAUAGGGAGGAAAUGGGGGAUAGAUUUAGUUUUGGCCGAGUUAGCUUUUUAGAGUUCACACAGGUUCAUUUUUGGUCUUUUUACUGACUGCUUUGGGUAAUCAGUUAGGGUAGUGUUCACUGUAACAGAAAGGCCCUCAACAGACUUUGGCCCAAUUAGAGGGAGACCCGUAUAAUGCCUUUAGAGGUGCCCCAUCCAGUGAUGGUUACCACUAUCCUGGGCCUGGACUGGCUGCUCGGCAACGAGGCCCUCCCAGAUCACGGUCGCCGUACUCUAGCAUAAGUAACUGCCAAGGGUAAAAAGAGUACGACGGGGAAAAACCUUGCACAGUUUGAUUUGUACAGUCCAAAAGUCAAUUAACAAAAUCAUUUGUAAAAUUAAGUGGUUAACAAAGAUAGUAAAUGCAUAUUCCUAA